rnacentral:rRNA from 1 species
UACGUAGGCGGUUUAUUAAGUCAGAUGUGAAACGCCCCGGGCUUAACCUGGGAACUGCAUUUGAUACUGGUAAACUAGAGUAUGGUAGGAGGGGGUAGAAUUCCUAGUGUAGCGGUGAAAUGCGUAGAUAUUAGGAGGAAUACCAGUGGCGAAGGCCGGCCCCCUGGACCAAUACUGACGCUGAGGUACGAAAGCGUGGGUAGCGAACA